GAAAUGCGAUAAGUAAUGUGAAUUGCAGAAUUCAGUGAAUCAUCGAAUCUUUGAACGCACCUUGCGCUCCUUGGUAUUCCUUGGAGCAUGCCUGUUUGAGUAUCAUGAAAUCUUCAAAGUAAAUCUUUUGUUAACUCAAUUGGUUUCUACUUUGGUAUUGGAGGUCUUUGCAGCUUCACACCUGCUCCUCUUUGUUCAUUAGCUGGAUCUCAGUGUUAUGCUUGGUUCCACUCGGCGUGAUAAGUUAUCUAUCGCUGAGGACACUGUAAAAGGUGGCCAAGGUAAAUGCAGAUGAACCGCUUCUAAUAGUCCACUGACUUGGACAAUACUUUUAUGAUCUGAUCUCAAAUCAGGUAGGACAACCCGCUGAACUUAAGC
rnacentral:misc_RNA from 1 species